GGAUGUGAGGGUAAUCUGGCUGUCUCCCCGAUGAUGGAGAGGGUUGAUUUGCUGAUCUGGGAGAGGGUUGAUUUGCUGAUCUGGCUGGCUAGGCGCAUGUCCUGUUUCUCCCUCACCCCUACCUGUGUGUCCGUCCGAAGUUGUGCAGUUCGUUAAAGAGGAUGACCCUCCCUGAUAACAGAGGACUCUUCCUGGGUCAAGGGUAUACAAGUAGCUACUCCCUCCCCUGCUGGAACCUCUAAACAAGUUCUCAAGGUCCAUUAGUAGGAGAAUUAGGGUGGUCAAGCUUCAAGGAUUCCAGACCCUUCCAAAUGAGGCACUGCACGGGGCAGUCUGCUUUUCUUU
ensembl:misc_RNA 7SK 7SK RNA